GAUGAACGCUGGCGGCGUGCCUAAUACAUGCAAGUCGAGCGAACAGACGAGGAGCUUGCUCCUCUCACGAUAGCGGCGGACGGGUGAGUAACACGUGGAUAACGUACCUAUAAGACUGGGAUAACUUCGGGAAACCGGAUCUAAUACCGGAUAACAUGCUGCACCGCGGGGGGCAACAGUGAAAGACGGUUUUGCUGUCACUUAUAGAUGCAUCUGCGCCGGAUUAGCUAGUUGGUAAGGUAACGGCUUACGAAGGCAACGAUGCGUAGCCGACCUGAGAGGGUGAUCGGCCACACUGGAGCUGGGACACGGUCCAGACUCCUACGGGAGGCAGCAGUAGGGAAUCUUCCGCAAUGGGCGAAAGCCUGACGGAACAACGCCGCGUGAGUGAAGAAGGUCUUCGGAUCGUAAAACUCUGUUACUAGGGAAGAACAAAUGUGGAAGGAACUAUGCACGGCUUGACGGUACCUAAUCAGAAAGCCACGGCUAACUACGUG
rnacentral:rRNA from 1 species